rnacentral:misc_RNA from 1 species
GAUGAAGAACGCAGCGAAAUGCGAUAAGUAGUGUGAAUUGCAGAAUUCCGUGAAUCAUCGAAUCUUUGAACGCACAUUGCGCCUUCUGGUAUUCCGGAAGACAUGCCUGUUCGAGAGUCAUUAACAACCGUUUCGAUCCCUUUCUUUCAGAAAUUACAAAGAGGAAAAGGGUUUGGUUAUGGUGGAGGAGGGAAAGGGAGCGUUUAGCCUGUAAAAAAAGAGGCUGUGUUCCGCCUCCCCCCCAAAAUUGUACAGGCGGUCGUGUGCGCCCACGCAUCGAGGUGUUGUAAAAGCUGCCACGGCACUUUUCACCUGUGCAGUGCGAGAUUGGCCAGCCGGUUUAAAAACCCCUCCAAACAAUCAAAGGUUGACCUCGGAUCAGGUAGGGAUACCCGCUGAACUUAAGCAUAUCAAUAAGCGGAGGA